UCCUUGAGAGUCCUGAAGGAACGUUGAAGACGACGACGUUGAUAGGCCGGGUGUGUAAGCGCAGCGAUGCGUUGAGC
rnacentral:rRNA from 1 species